rnacentral:rRNA from 1 species
GGAAUUAUUGGGCGUAAGCGCGCGCAGGUGGUUUCUUAAGUCUGAUGUGAAAGCCCACGGCUCAACCGUGGAGGGUCAUUGGAAACUGGGAGACUUGAGUGCAGAAGAGGAAAGUGGAAUUCCAUGUGUAGCGGUGAAAUGCGUAGAGAUAUGGAGGAACACCAGUGGCGAAGGCGACUUUCUGGUCUGUAACUGACACUGAGGCGCGAAAGCGUGGGGAGCAAACAGGAUUAGAUACCCUGGUAGUCCACGCCGUAAACGAUGAGUGCUAAGUGUUAGAGGGUUUCCGCCCUUUAGUGCUGAAGUUAACGCAUUAAGCACUCCGCCUGGGGAGUACGGCCGCAAGGCUGAAACUCAAAGGAAUUGACGGGGGCCCGCACAAGCGGUGGAGCAUGUGGUUU